UAUAGGUUUGGUCCCAGCCUUCCUGUUAACUUUCAAUAGACUUAUACAUGCAAGCAUCCACGCCCCGGUGAGUAACGCCCUUCGAAUCACACAGGACUAAAAGGAGCAGGUAUCAAGCACACACUCUUGUAGCUCACAACGCCUUGCUUAACCACACCCCCACGGGAGACAGCAGUAACAAAAAUUAAGCCAUAAACGAAAGUUUGAUUAAGCCAUAUUGAUUAGGGUUGGUAAAUCUCGUGCCAGCCACCGCGGUCAUACGAUUGACCCAAGCUAACAGGAGUACGGCGUAAAGCGUGUUAAAGCAUCAUACUAAAUAGAGUUAAAUUUUAAUUAAACUGUAAAAAGCCAUAAUUAUAACAAAUAUAAAUGACGAAAGUAACCCUACAAUAGCUGAUACACCAUAGCUAAGACCCAAACUGGGAUUAGAUACCCCACUAUGCUUAGCCCUAAACACAAAUAAUUAU
rnacentral:rRNA from 1 species